rnacentral:rRNA from 1 species
GUCAGGCUAGAGUAUGGUAGAGGAGUGUGGAAUUUCCUGUGUAGCGGUGAAAUGCGUAGAUAUAGGAAGGAACACCAGUGGCGAAGGCGGCACUCUGGACCAAUACUGACACUGAGGUGCGAAAGCGUGGGGAGCAAACAGGAUUAGAUACCUUGGUAGUCCACGCCGUAAACGAUGUCUACUAGCCGUUGGGACUCUUGAAGUCUUAGUGGCGCAGCUAACGCACUAAGUAGACCGCCUGGGGAGUACGGCCGCAAGGUUAAAACUCAAAUGAAUUGACGGGGGCCCGCACAAGCGGUGGAGCAUGUGGUUUAAUUCGACGCAACGCGAAGAACCUUACCUGGCCUUGACAUGCAGAGAACUUUCCAGAGAUGGAUUGGUGCCUUCGGGAACUCUGACACAGGUGCUGCAUGGCCGUCGUCAGCUCGUGUCGUGAGAUGUUGGGUUAAGUCCCGUAACGAGCGCAACCCCUAUCCCUAGUUGCUAGCAGUUCGGCUGAGAACUCUAGGGAGACUGCCGGUGACAAACCGGAGGAAGGUGGGGAUGACGUCAGGUCAUCAUGGCCCUUACGGCCAGGGCUACACACGUGCUACAAUGGCGCGCACAGAGGGCUGCAAACCCGCGAGGGGGAGCCAAUCUCACAAAACGCGUCGUAGUCCGGAUCGCAGUCUGCAACUCGACUGCGUGAAGUCGGAAUCGCUAGUAAUCGUGAAUCAGAAUGUCACGGUGAAUACGUUCCCGGGCCUUGUACACACCGCCCGUCACACCAUGGGAGUGGAUUGCACCAGAAGUGGUUAGUCUAACCU